CAGUCGUACUUAUGGGUAAUCAGCCUUUUGGGUGUGAUUUUGUGGAGCGUGAGGAGUUAAACGCCUUCAUGCCUGCAUAUUCGUGCACUUUGGGUGUACUUGCCCGUGUGUAAGUUAACAUCAAUUUUGGUGAUCAUAAAAUGACUAGAGGAAUGUAGCUUCGAUCUCGUAUUGAAGUGUUAUAGCCUUUUGGUAGAUGUGAUGAUCGGGAUUGAGGAUUGCAACGGAUACCCUUCGGGGGCUACCUUGUCUGAUCUCUGAUUGUUGCUCUGGUGCUGAAAGUCUUGCUUAUGGCUAUC
rnacentral:rRNA from 1 species